rnacentral:rRNA from 1 species
UACGUAGGCAGCAAACGUUGUUCGGAAUUACUGGGCGUAAAGAGUGUGUAGGCGGCUUUGUUAGUUUGGUGUGAAAUCUCCCGGCUUAACUGGGAGGGUGCGCCGAAUACUGCAAGGCUAGAGUACUGGAGAGGAAAGCGGAAUUCCUGGUGUAGCGGUGAAAUGCGUAGAUAUCAGGAGGAACACCGGUGGCGAAGGCGGCUUUCUGGACAGUAACUGACGCUGAGGCGCGAAAGCGAGGGGAGCAAACGGG